GACUAUAAAAUACACUGAUUAGUUGAUGCUUGAAUUGCUUCGCGGGAUCCAAUGAAAAGUCUCAUUUAGAGAAGCGCCCAGAAAGCGGUAAAACGGUACGUUGCGUGACUUGAGUCAACAGCUCCGAAUUUACAGUCAGAUUGCCUAGACGUUGAUUUCUGCAGUAACGUAACCAGGAUCCUAAGGUGUGAUGAGAAAGUUAGCAGUGAUCCAGUGGGUCAGUGGGGAGGAUGGUGGGAUGUAUAGGGAGGUAAAAACUGAUGCCAUACGUAAAUAUGAUGACACCAAGAUGGAUGAUGAUGGAUACCCACAAACUGACUAUUCAGCUGCUGUGGAGUGGCAGAAAGGGAAAAAGCCAAAACAUGGCCGGCCAGUGUACAUGGCCUCGGUCAAGUUUGUGAGCUACAAUCGAUUUCAUACUAGUAAUAAAAUUAAGUAAUUUCUGGGGUUGGAGUCUGAUGAAAGUAACAAAGCACUGCCUAAGAAAAGGGCCUCAGUCCCACCAUCAAGAUAUACAGAUUCAGAUGAAACUGAUGUUGAGAAUACACCGACCCAAAGGAAAAGGACAGUGAUCCCCGAACCACAGAUAAAUGUUGCCCAAAUGAUUGUUGAUGAGUAUCAAGCCACAACCUUCACAGAGACUCAGAAGAAGCUGAAGGAAAUGGAGGAGGAAAACAAAAAAAUUGAGAAACGACAACGAAAAAAUAAGAAGAAUGUUUAUUAGAGGUAUCACAUUUAUUUUAGUAUUGUGGUGAAUCAUGCAAUCAGCUAUCACACUGUUUUGUAGUUCUUAUGUCCUCUGCACUUAUUAUUGUUGAUUAUUGUUGAACUGUUGUUUUGUUCCAAUAACAUUAUUUAACUUGGUAUGUAAAGUUGAGGCAAAUAAUUUAAUCAUUGGUAAUGACAAUAAUUAUUGGUAACUGCAUUUUUAUCAAGUAUAUAAAACACCCGAGUAGGUAAAUUAGUAUAAUAAAUUGUUUUAUCAUAUUUUAUUUUGUUUUAUUUUUGUUGUUAGAGCUACCAAAUCUGAUUAAUGAAGUGAAGAUGGCUCUGAAGUCUCAGUGUUCAUCAACGACAUCAGUCAGCUCUGACUUGGAAAGUAGACAGGAUUUGCCACAGAGUAUUGCACAGCCCUCCCCACAGCCCUCCACCCACCGAAAGAAGUAUCCACAGAACAGAUAGUGUACUAUUUGAAUUAAUCAAUGAAUACUGCACUGUUCAAUGAACCAUUUGGUAAUAUA